CUGAUGGUGACCGGCGUACGGGUGAGUAACGCGUAUCCAACCUGCCCUUUACUAUGGGACAGCCCGUCGAAAGGCGGAUUAAUACCGUAUGUUGUCAUGUUGAUGCAUAUUUUCAUGACCAAAGGCUUCGGCCGGUAAAGGAUGGGGAUGCGUCUGAUUAGCUUGCCGGCGGGGUAACGGCCCACCGGGGCGACGAUCAGUAGGGGUUCUGAGAAGAAGGUCCCCCACAUUGGAACUGAGACACGGUCCAAACUCCUACGGGAGGCAGCAG
rnacentral:rRNA from 1 species